UGUGCUCUACAGCCGUCCCUGGAGACGUGAUGGGGAAGAAGCAAGUGGUUAGCGAGCCUCAGCGUCCUCCGCGAGCACUUCCACCUGUGCCAAGUGCUAUCCAAGAUGAGAUUCCACUUAGUCAUCCUAAGAAAAAGAAAUCCAGAACAAAGAGCACACCAGCUCCUGCUUCUUCAGAAGGCCUUGCUGAGCCCGUUGUUAACAGGAGGGCUGAGGGCAGUGAGCCACCAGCUGCAGAACUCAAGGAGUACCCAGAGGCUCCUGUUCAAAGGAAACAGAAGAAGAUAAGACCACCUCCUGAGUUGGAGACUUCCUUCACUGAAAAGCCAUCCAGUCCGUCUUUACUACGGAAUGAAAACGGCAUGGACGUGGAGCCUCGUGAGGAAGUGGUUAUUCCAAAACCUCGAAGGAAGGCGAAGUAAUAGUUUAUUCAUCCAUGGAGCUCUUCCUCAGAGCUGGUGCUGUGUUUAGUUCAAGUCCUCGCUGGGUCUCAUCACACCAUGUGUUGUGUCAGGAUAAGCAGUAGUACAGAAAUGAACCGAUGCUAUGAGGAAUUUGAAAAGAAUAGAACACUAAAGAAAAGAGAAGAAUAAUGUAUGGAACUAGCCCAAGGAGUCAUCUCGAAGAAAGCACAAUCAGAGAGAAUAUUUUCAUAUAAGUUACAAAACUCGUCAUUAAGGAUAAAUACUGUGAUUCAUUUCUCCAUGUUAAUGGAUUUGAAGUAGGAAAUAAGCCUAACCAUUGUGUUUUAA
rnacentral:lncRNA from 1 species